rnacentral:rRNA from 1 species
AUACGUAGGGUGCAAGCGUUAAUCGGAAUUACUGGGCGUAAAGCGUGCGCAGGCGGUUUUGUAAGACAGAGGUGAAAUCCCCGGGCUCCACCUGGGAACUGCCUUUGUGACUGCAAGGCUAGAGUACGGCAGAGGGGGGAGGAAUUCCGCGGGGAGCAGUGAAAUGCGUAGAUAUGCGGAGGAACACCGAUGGCGAAGGCAAUCCCCUGGGCCUGUACUGACGCUCAUGCACGAAAGCGUGGGGAGCAAACAGGAUUAGAUACCCUGGUAGUCCACGCCCUAAACGAUGUCAACUGGUUGUUGGGUCUUCAUUGACUCAGUAACGAAGCUAACGCGUGAAGUUGACCGCCUGGGGAGUACGGCCGCAAGGUUGAAACUCAAAUGAAUUGACGGGG